rnacentral:rRNA from 1 species
GACGAACGCUGGCGGCGUGCUUAACACAUGCAAGUCGAACGGAAAGGCCCUGCUUUUGUGGGGUGCUCGAGGGGCGAACGGGUAAGUAACACGGGAGCAACCUGCCCUUGACUUUGGGAUAACUUCAGGAAACUGGGGAUAAUACCGGAUAGGAGCUCACGCUGCAGGGUGGGGGUUGGAAAGUUUCGGCGGUUGGGGCUGGACUCGCGGCUGAUCAGCUUGUUGGUUGGGUAGUGGCUGACCAAGGCUUGGACGGGUAUGCGGCCGGAGAGGGUGACCGGCCACACGGGGACUGAGAUACGGCGCAGAGUCCAACGGGAGGCAGCAGUGGGGAAUAUUGUACAAUGGGCGGGAGCCUGAUGAAGAAACUCCGCGUGCGGGAUGACGGCCUUCGGGUUGAAAACCGCAUUAGCCUGUGACGAAGCGUGAGUGACGGUAAUGGGUAAAGAAGCACCGGCUAACUACGUG